rnacentral:sRNA from 1 species
AUUUGACAUGUAUGGGGUUCUAAAAAUUACAUAUAAAGUAGCCGUUCUAAAGAAUGUGGGCCGUGCCUGACCUGAACAAGUUCGAUAAAAUCUGCUUAACCAAACCCAUUUACAGCGGCUUUUGUAACGCCCGCGAUCCUCAAUAGGAUCGUUGGCUAGGACUUGGUCCGAGAGAAGAAGGUGGAGUCUCGGACAAGUGAGAAGGAGCUGGCCAUAAGCUCGGACAAAGGGGAAAUCAUGCAGGCUAAGCUAGGAUCGUAAAGAAAUCACUUGGGUCAGCUCGCCCAAAGCUUAAGCCCAGCUGGAAGGAGUGACGGUUACUCAGGUCGAGUGACAGUCCAGCUCGGGCAGCUGGACGAGUGACGGUUGAGCUCGAGGUAGCUGGACGAGUGACGGACGAGCUCGAGGCGGCUGGACGAGUGACGGUUGAGCUCGAGGUAGCUGGGCGAGUGACGGACGAGCUCGAGGUAGCUGGACGAGUGACGGACGAACUGGGCGGUUAUGGGCGAAGAGAUACAACUCUUCGGAAAGGUGCAACUCUUCGGAAGGGCGCAACUCUUCGGAAAGGUGCAACUCUUCGGAAAGGUGCAAGGAACGGAUGUGUUGAUUCGGGAAGCAUCCAUUCGCCCCCUAUAUAAGGAAGGGCGCCCAGGACCAUUCCACUCACCACAACACACCGAAAACACAAGAAACUCACCAUUAAAACUCUCUCCCUCUUGGGAGAAUAAAUAGUCUUAGGAUUCGGUAGCCGGGCUGUGGCCGGCAAUAAAGAAGGAGGGUCAGAUCGACCUAACCUCGAGAAGGAAGGUAAGU